ACGGGUGAGUAACACGUGGGUAACCUGCCCAUCAGAAGGGGAUAACACUUGGAAACAGGUGCUAAUACCGUAUAACACUAUUUUCCGCAUGGAAGAAAGUUGAAAGGCGCUUUUGCGUCACUGAUGGAUGGACCCGCGGUGCAUUAGCUAGUUGGUGAGGUAACGGCUCACCAAGGCAACGAUGCAUAGCCGACCUGAGAGGGUGAUCGGCCACACUGGGACUGAGACACGGCCCAGACUCCUACGGGAGGCAGCAGUAGGGAAUCUUCGGCAAUGGACGAAAGUCUGACCGAGCAACGCCGCGUGAGUGAAGAAGGUUUUCGGAUCGUAAAACUCUGUUGUUAGAGAAGAACAAGGAUGAGAGUAAAAUGUUCAUCCCUUGACGGUAUCUAACCAGAAAGCCACGGCUAACUACGUGCCAGCAGCCGCGGUAAUACGUAGGUGGCAAGCGUUGUCCGGAUUUAUUGGGCGUAAAGCGAGCGCAGGCGGUUUCUUAAGUCU
rnacentral:rRNA from 1 species